GGCUCGCUGACAGAAGUGAGGCUGCUGUACACUGAUGCCACCAGGCGCUCUGAUCAGUAGCAAUGCAGGUGAAGUGUCUUGCCCAAGGGCACAACGACACUGAAAGUUGGAACCAGUCGUGCUGAAGGCAAAAGUUCUGGUCUGAGGCUAAAAAUCAAAUGUUCACGAUCAUCAGAUACAGUUUGUGAAGCUCUGGAAGGAUAUUUCUGUGCUGAUGUUAUUGAAGGAAGCUGUGCUGCUGCAGAAAAGCACAGCAGCUGUAAACCUGGACAAUAUAUUAGCAAGAAAGGAACGUCGCUGUCAGACACUGAAUGCUCUGAAUGCAGCAGAGGAACAUUUUCUAAUGGAUCAUUAACACUGUCAGCCACACACAC